ACGACACGUUUUUGCCAUUUCCAUUUGCCAGUCACAGUUUCUCUCUCCCUCUCUGUUAUUUAUUGUUUUCAUAAUUUAAUUAUUUGCUUAAGAAAUAAUGUGAAUAAUAAUGGAAUAACAACGUAGCAACUGAUGAAUAAUAAAUUAAUAAUGAUCAAAUAUUAUAUAUAUUCAUAAGAUAAGGAAUCGACAGUCCUUUAGAAACGUGGCCUCGCGUGUCGCGAUAAUUGCAUGAAAAUCCUCAUCCGUCGUCAGUCCGCGCAAAAA